GUGCCCGGAGGUCGGGGCUCGAGCUCCCCCCGGGCUGAGGGAGGGAACGCCGCAGGUGCAGCCGGGAGAAGUGGCGGACAAAGAGCGGCGGCACCUGCACUCACCAUCGGUAGCAGCCUUCGCUGGCCUCUAGCGUGAAGUUGACGCGGGUGAAGAAGUGGUACAUGGACCAAAGUGCAGAAAGAGGUUAAGGAAACCAGAAAGGGAACUCCGUGAGACGUGAACUCUGUAAGCCAGGUGAAUGCAGUGGUGACUGUGGUGUGAGCAGCUUGGAGCCCCUCCAACAAGCACAUUUGCUGUUGGUUCCAUCCUUACAUCUGCAGAGCCCUGUGAAAUAUCUGCAUCAAAGAAGCACCAGCCAUGGAAGUAAAGUAGUCCUAUACGUGAAGAUGCACUUAAACAGCCAAGAGAAGAAAAGUAGAUUGUAACAAACAUCCCUUCUUGCUGUGACAGGGGUGGUGGGAGUCAGUAGUUUCAGAUCAUUGUACUUGAGUGUUUAGUUUUAAUCAGCCAUUAUUUCAAAACUGUAUGAAAAGUCUUAGCAACGUGCAAACCUACACAGCUGCUCAGUCUGACUGGCAGAACUCACUGAGUUUGCAUCCAUCCUGCUGUCAUGUGUGGUUCAGGUACCUGCCUCUGCUAGGACUCUGAUCUGCUGCUACAGAGAUUGAAUUGCCAGAAAGUGCAUUACUUUUCAUUACUUUAAAAUGGAUAUCAUAGAAACAGAGUAUAUAAAACAACAUUCAUUUUUCAAUUAUUUCUUUAUUGCUUUCUCUACUGGUGGAGUUAUCAUGUUCAAUUUACUGUAUUAGACUUUUUGUGUCUUCAUACGCAUAUUGAAGAUUUUAUGAGAACACUCUCAGCCUUACAACUAUUCUCUGCAAAACUAAUGAUGGAUUUAUAGCAACUGUAAAACUGAACACUUUCGUUAUUCCUGCCAGUAUUUUCUUUCCAAGCUGCGUCAUGAGAAGAUGUUUGGCCAAAGGAAGGCAUAAAUUCAGGAAAUUACUAAAAUCAAGGCAGCCAGUUAAUGGUAAUAAGGAAAGAGUGUUAAAUUCUAGCAAAGUUGAUUUCUUUCAAAUUAUUUGGAAGGGACCACUUUUGUUUAGAAGCAUCACUUAAAUCAGAGCCAAAUCUCUCAUUUGUUGCUUUAUCUAGUCUGCCCUGGCUGCCAUGGGUAGUUUUAUUUUAUAAAGCCAUUUGAUGUGCAAGACUUUCCCAGAUAGUAUAAAACACCAAGGGCUUACUCAAUUAUUCAGGAUGUGUCUGAUAACACUGAGAUUAUGAAACAGUAACAGCAGAUAAAAAUAAACCUUUUAACAUCAGAGUUUAUCUACCUUUCUAAUGUAAAUUUAUGGUUAUUAAAGAAGCCUAUUUAUAGCUCUUUUCAAAGUGUUACAUAAUAGUGUUUUUUCCAUGUGCCUUUAUACAGAGAUGGAAAUCAUAUUAAUGAGCUAUUCACUGAGCAACUGAAUGAAUGCAUGAGUGAUGAGAAUUCACAAGAAAUAGAAGAGUAACAAACAAACAAAUAUCCCAGCCUUUGUUUCCCCUUAAAUACAUCCGGGAAAUUUAGGAAAUCACAGAAGUCUUAAACCUUGAAAAUAAUUAGUCAAAUGUAUAAGUAGGCUUAUGAAUAUGUUUAAUGACUUAGGUAAUGGCAAUAAGGAAAAUGAAUUAUGAUCUUUUCAAGGUUACUUGAUUUCAUAUUAUGGUAUGUACACCUCAGAAGUGUUAAGUGGGCAAUCAAAUACAAUAGUUCUAUGUCUUUUUAAAUGUUAACACUGUUCCAAACUGUUUUCUUAUUUUCUAUGCUUUAAACACCAACAUGGGACAAUUUAUUACGCUUUAGCAUCUCUUCUGUCUUCCAGCAGAAGUACUUUGGGCAGAAGUCUUGACUUCGCUUAUCCUAGCACUGGUAAUGAUUGUGUUAUCCAAAUGCCUCUUGAACACUAACAUGCACAGGGAACAAACCUCUUCUGGGAAGCCUAAAGCAUUGUUUGACCAGCCUUACAGUGAAGAAAUUUUUCCUUUUGUUCAGCCUCUGCUCACGUAGGACAUGCCUUCCAGCCCUUUCAUCACCUUUGUUGCCCUCCUCUUAAUGUAUUCAUGUAUCUUAAAAUCCUUUUUAUAUUGUGGACCCACAACUGCACACAAUGUUCAGAGUGAGGCUAUGCCUCUAGAAGGCUUCUGUACCUACUUACUCAGCAAGAUACUUCUGUAUUUUUCCAUGCAUGCUUGCAGUAUAUAACAUGCAUUUCAAAUGUAAAAUUAGAGUUUACUUUCCACUCUAAGAUCACAUAAGUACAAAAAAAAUCAGGGACUCUUGCUGACCUUGAAGAAACAUAGCACAAUUGCUGUUAUUUCAAUAAUGAGUUCUUCCAAAGAAGAUUUAACUUACUGCAGUGGAAUGAUAGAAGAAAACGCAGGAGAUGCUGCAUGGACACCAGAAUACAGGAUGUUAUGUAUGCAUUAAAAUCUGUACGGAUCGAAGUAUGAAGUCUGAUUGCACCAUCUUGUUUAAAUUAGCUCUAAAACCUACAGAUUAUCCUUCCUGAGUCUAUGAUUGUAUGAUUCUUUCAUAUACCCAAGUAAAUUUGGGGGUGCGAGGAUAUUUCUGUCAAAGUACUUUUAACAAUUUUGCAGGUGAAAAAUGCUUGAGGUAUUACUGAUUGCUUAAUGAUUCUUCCAGCAGCAAGUGAAGGAGUUACACACAGAUCAGGUGAUCUUAUUUAUUAAGGUAUAUCCAGCUUCUUUAAGUAUGGACAAUAGCUCUUAGAGAUGCAUAAAACUGUACGCAGUAGCCUCUUUUUUUUUUUUUACAAGUCUAAUAACAUUCAGUAGCAAUUGCAGGUGUUUGUACUUGCUGAAGUUGUUUUCCUGGUGAUUUUUUUUCCCCCUCUUCUUCAGGUUAGGGAUGAAGCUCAACUCAUUCUGAUGUCUAUUGCAGCACCAUUCUUAUGUGGAGAAUUUAAUUCAUUAGGCUGUCAGUUUUCAAUUCAGCAGGAGGUUAAUAUUAGUUUGUCCCAAGGAUCUGUGUUAUAGAUAGUACUUAAUGUAUUCAUUAAUUAUCUGGAGAGGCAGAAAUGAAGGGUAGAAGAAAAAAUGAGGUCAGCAGGAUUUGCAGAUGACAAAAUUAUUUAGCGUAAGUCUUUAUAAGACGAGGCUGUGAGGAACUUCAUAGAAACAGAAGUAGACAAAUUGGCAGCAUAAUGCUUGAUGACAGUCAGACAUUGACAAACGUAGCCUAGUGCACAUAAGAAUGAAAAUUCUGAACUGCUUGUUUGCAUGGUCCUGUUCUAGCUUAUCAGUCAUUGCAAAAGGCAAAAGGAACAUCCAGCACAGUACAGAAAUCCUUCUCAGUGCUCAGUAGCAGUCAAAAUCUACAUAAGAUAAUGUGAUGCAGAAAAAAAAAAGCAUAAAACUGAUCCAACAUGAUAGAAAAAUAUUAGUUCCAGUUCAAAGUAAAAAUUCACAAUACACUAGGGUCAUUCCAUCCCUGUUAAGAUAGGGACAUGUCUGAAUAAUUUGGAAGUCCAUCUUCAAGUCUGUUUUCUUUCCAAUGCAAGUUGGAAGCCCUUCAUUGUAACGCAUGCUGGGUACAUUUGCAAUCUGAAGAGUGUUUCUCUUCCUUUGCUUUUAUUUAAUAAAGCUCAGUGCCAUUUAGUGAUAUUCCCUUGAACAGAUUCCUGUUGCUCGAUGAAGAAAAGAUCUGUUGUCUACAAGAUUUCAUCAGUUCACUUUUAUUCUUAUGCGAUUACCCUGCGCAUAUCAGCAUCACUCUUCCAUUUUAUUUCUCCUAACUAGCUGGCAUCUUGGUGGUGCUGUUUUUUAAGUUCUCUGUAAAUGCUCUCUCUUGGGUCCUCAGUGACACGUUUGUUUUCUCUUUUUUCUCCCCAACUUUUUUAUUGGCUUUGAUUCCUUUUGAGGAAGUUUUCACUAUCUCAGAUCAGCUCUUUAUAUAAUAAGUGUAUUAAUAAGGGGAUAAAGAGACAGAGUUUAUUAUCAUUACACAUGCUAAGGUUAGGGACAAGGUUAUUCACGAUAUAAGCAACUGUAAUUCUACAAGAUUAGAUGCUUUUGUAGGUUGAGCUUUGCUCCAGAGUGAAAUUAAAGUAUUUUGGAACAUUUGUUCUUGCUUCUCUCUUGUGGAAAAAAAAAGAAAAAAAAAAGUGGAUGAACGUGGAUGAAUAAUAACUGAUCUCACCACUGUCACGUUCUACUUAAAAUUUGUAAAACCCUGUAAGUGUCCCAGCUAACAGCCCCAGAAUUGCCAUGCUGUCUUAAACUCUGUAGCUUGUAGUUACUAUUUGUGAAUUGUUCUCUCCAUAUUUUUAUGCAGCACUGUUCUGAAUUAGCUACAAAAAUGGAGAAUUUAGAUUUUAUGUUUGUCGAAUGAGGUUACUGGUAGAUUCCCAGCAGGAUGUUGUAUGAAGGCCUAUGUUUUUGGCAAUCCUUAAGUUGAUGGAAAGAUUAUUUUUCAUUAACUUUCAUUUCACAGAAGUGAUGCCCAAGGAGGCUGUG